rnacentral:rRNA from 1 species
GACGAACGCUGGCGGCGUGCUUAACACAUGCAAGUCGAACGGUGAAAGAAGAGCUUGCUCUUCUGGAUCAGUGGCGAACGGGUGAGUAACACGUGAGUAACCUGCCCCUGACUCUGGAAUAAGCGCUGGAAACGGCGUCUAAUACCGGAUACGAGAUAGAGCUGCAUGGCUACUGUCUGGAAAGUUCUUCGGUCUGGGAUGGACUCGCGGCCUAUCAGCUUGUUGGUGAGGUAACGGCUCACCAAGGCAACGACGGGUAGCCGGCCUGAGAGGGCGACCGGCCACACUGGGACUGAGACACGGCCCAGACUCCUACGGGAGGCAGCAGUGGGGAAUAUUGCACAAUGGGCGAAAGCCUGAUGCAGCGACGCCGCGUGAGGGAUGACGGCCUUCGGGUUGUAAACCUCUUUCAGCAGGGAAGAAGCGAAAGUGACGGUACCUGCAGAAGAAGCACCGGCUAACUACGUG